rnacentral:tRNA from 1 species
GAAGAUCUAGUUAAUAAAUAACACAGGCUUGUCAGGCCUGAAUAACUAUUUGAAGUAGUGGUUUUCU